rnacentral:tRNA from 1 species
CAUCAUACUAUGAUAAUCAUCAUCAUAGUAUKAUMAUACUAUGAACAGUUUUUUGGAAUUGUCAAUAGAAUCU